ensembl:snoRNA
GGUCAAUGAUGUAAUGACAUGUAUUAGCUGAAUCCAAAGUUGAUGUGAAUUCAAAAAUUAUACCAAGACCUU